GAUAAAGUGGCCGAGUGGUCUAAGGCGCUAGCUUCAGGCGCUAGUCCGAAAGGGCGUGGGUUCAAAUCCCACCUUUAUCA
rnacentral:tRNA from 1 species